GACGAACGCUGGCGGCGUGCUUAACACAUGCAAGUCGAACGGUGAAGCCCUUCGGGGUGGAUCAGUGGCGCACGGGUGAGUAACACGUGAGCAACCUGCCCCUGGCUCUGGGACAACCACUGGAAACGGUGGCUAAUACCGGAUACGACCCGCCUCGGCAUCGAGUGUGGGUGGAAAGUUUUUCGGCUGGGGAUGGGCUCGCGGCCUAUCAGCUUGUUGGUGUGGUGAAGGCGCACCAAGGCGACGACGGGUAGCCGGCCUGAGAGGGCGACCGGCCACACGGGGACUGAGACACGGCCGAGACGCCGACGGGAGGGAGGAGUGGGGAAUAUUGCACAAUGGGCGAAAGCCGGAUGCAGCGACGCCGCGUGAGGGAGGACGGCCUUCGGGUUGUAAACCUCUUUCAGCGCCGAAGAAGCGAAAGUGACGGUAGGAGCAGAAGAAGCACCGGCUAACUACGU
rnacentral:rRNA from 1 species